UCAUACUUUAACUCAACUUGAUCAUUAAUAACAAUAAGCAAUAUUUCAAUUCUUGUAUUUAAUUGUAUUCAUACCUUAUUUCACUAUCUCAAUUCUAUUGGAUUUUUCGACAUCUCAUUCUAAUAAUUCAUUCCAAUUCAUACAAAUUCAAUCAAUUUAUCAACUCAUUCAUUAUCAUUUCUAUUUAUAAUCAAUAUGUACUUUAAAUCUUUUAACACUCAAUUUAUUCAUUAAAUCCAUAACUAAAUUUCAAUAACUUGUAUUCAGUUAAAUUCACAUAUUAUUUCACUCUUUCAAAUUAUUUUAUUUUCACUUCUCACUUCUUAACAAUAGCUAUUUCAAUUCAUAUUCAAGAUCAUUCAAUAAAAAUUUAUAUUAUCAAAAUUAUUCAUUUACCCCUAUUAACUUGACUCAGAUCUUGGCGGAUACA
rnacentral:lncRNA from 1 species